GAUGAACGCUAGCUGCAGGCUUAACACAUGCAAGUCGAGGGGAAACGACAUCGAAAGCUUGCUUUUGAUGGGCGUCGACCGGCGCACGGGUGAGUAACGCGUAUCCAACCUGCCCAUCACUUGGGAAUAACCUUGCGAAAGUAAGACUAAUACCCAAUGAUAUCCCACGAAGGCAUCGGAAUGGGAUUAAAGAUUUAUCGGUGAUGGAUGGGGAUGCGUCUGAUUAGCUUGUUGGCGGGGUAACGGCCCACCAAGGCAACGAUCAGUAGGGGUUCUGAGAGGAAGGUCCCCCACAUUGGAACUGAGACACGGUCCAAACUGCUACGGGAGGCAGCAGUGAGGAAUAUUGGUCAAUGGGCGAGAGCCUGAACCAGCCAAGUAGCGUGCAGGAAGACGGCCCUAUGGGUUGUAAACUGCUUUUAUAAGGGAAUAAAGUGGGUCACGUGUGACUUUUUGCAUGUACCUUAUGAAUAAGGACCGGCUAAUUCCGUG
rnacentral:rRNA from 1 species